GGCUCAGGAUGAACGCUGGCGGCGUGCCUAAUACAUGCAAGUCGAACGGAGAUGCCUUCCAGAAGCCUUCGGGCAGACGAGUUGGUAUCUUAGUGGCGGACGGGUGAGUAACACGUGAGCAACCUGCCUUUCAGAGGGGGAUAACGGCUGGAAACGGUCGCUAAUACCGCAUGAUAUAUUGAUGUGGCAUCGCAUUAAUAUCAAAGGAGCAAUCCGCUGAAAGAUGGGCUCGCGUCUGAUUAGAUAGUUGGUGGGGUAACGGCCUACCAAGUCGACGAUCAGUAGCCGGACUGAGAGGUUGAACGGCCACAUUGGGACUGAGAUACGGCCCAGACUCCUACGGGAGGCAGCAGUAGGGAAUAUUGCACAAUGGGGGAAACCCUGAUGCAGCAACGCCGCGUGAAGGACGACGGUCUUCGGAUUGUAAACUUCUUUUCUUUGUGAAGAAUUCUGACGGUAGCAAAGGAAUAAGCAUCGGCUAACUACGUGCCAGCAGCCGC
rnacentral:rRNA from 1 species